ACGAGUGUAGCUCAGUGGUUAAGACAUUGGGCCACUGAUUGAAAGGUUGUGAGUUCAAUCCCCAGCACUCCUA